rnacentral:rRNA from 1 species
CUACGGGGGGCUGCAGUGGGGAAUAUUGCACAAUGGGGGGAACCCUGAUGCAGCAACGCCGCGUGGAGGAUGACACAUUUCGGUGCGUAAACUCCUUUUAUAUAAGAAGAUAAUGACGGUAUUAUAUGAAUAAGCACCGGCUAACUCCGUGCCAGCAGCCGCGGUAAUACGGGGGGUGCAAGCGUUACUCGGAAUCACUGGGCGUAAAGAGCAUGUAGGCUGGUUAGUAAGUUGGAAGUGAAAUCCUAUGGCUUAACCAUAGAACUGCUUCCAAAACUACUAACCUAGAAUAUGGGAGAGGUAGAUGGAAUUUCUGGUGUAGGGGUAAAAUCCGUAGAGAUCAGAAGGAAUACCGAUUGCGAAGGCGAUCUACUGGAACAUUAUUGACGCUCAGAUGCGAAAGCGUGGGGAGCAAACAGGAUUAGAUACCCUCGUAGUC